rnacentral:rRNA from 1 species
UUACCAGCACGUAAUGGUGGGCACGCUAAGGGGACUGCCGGUGACAAACCGGAGGAAGGUGGGGAUGACGUCAAGUCAUCAUGGCCCUUACGUCCUGGGCUACACACGUGCUACAAUGGUCGGUACAAAGGUUUGCGAAGCCGCGAGGUGGAGCUAAUCCCAUAAAGCCGAUCGUAGUCCGGAUCGCAGUCUGCAACUCGGCUGCGUGAAGUCGGAAUCGCUAGUAAUCGCGAAUCAGAAUGGCGCGGUGAAUACGUUCCCGGGCCUUGUACACACCGCCCGUCAC